CAGCAGCCACGGGAAUACGAAGGGGGCUAGCGUUGCUCGGAAUUACUGGGCGUAAAGGGCGCGUAGGCGGACAGUUAAGUUGGGGGUGAAAGCCCGGGGCUCAACCUCGGAAUUGCCUUCAAUACUGGCUGUCUUGAGUAUGAGAGAGGUGUGUGGAACUCCGAGUGUAGAGGUGAAAUUCGUAGAUAUUCGGAAGAACACCAGUGGCGAAGGCGACACACUGGCUCAUUACUGACGCUGAGGCGCGAAAGCGUGGGGAGCAAACAGGAUUAGAUACCCGGGUAGUCCCUGUCUCUUAUAC
rnacentral:rRNA from 1 species